rnacentral:lncRNA from 10 species
CUUGGCCUCUCAGCAGCCUGACCGAUGCAAACGAGCCCAGGCCUUCAUCAGCACACAGGGCCUUAAGCCAGAUACUGUGGCUGAACUCGUGGCAGAAGAGGUGACACGGGAGCUGCUUACUUCAUCACAGGGAACAGGACAUAAGCAGAUGUUCAACCCAACAGAGGAAAGCCAGACAUUUCUUCAGCUGACCACUCUGUGUCAAGACCGCACAUUGGUAGGCAUGAAGUUGUUGGAUAAGAUUUCCUCCGUUCCCCAUGGGGAACUGUCUUGCAAGUGGUACCCUGAAAACAGCCCUGCUGGACUACAUCAAACGCUGCCGUCCUGGAGACAGUGAAAAGCACAAUAUGAUUGCCCUGUGCUUCAGCAUGUGCCGGGAGAUUGGCGAGAACCACGAGGCAGCUGCCCGCAUCCAACUGAAAUUGAUUGAGUCUCAGCCCUGGGGUGAGUGAGGUCACAGCCACACUACCAGAACAGUGCUGCUAGCUAGGUAAAAUUCCUUUUUUUUUUUUUUUUUUGAGACAGAGUCU